UGACCUGGCUCGGUGAACGGAGCUUGCACCUGGAUUCAGCGGCGGACGGGUGAGGAAAGCCUAGGAAUCUGCCUGGUAGUGGGGGAUAACGUCUUGGAAACGGGCGCUAAUACCGCAUACGUCCUGAGGGAGAAAGUGGGGGAUCUUCGGACCUCACGCUAUCAGAUGAGCCUAGGUCGGAUUAGCUAGUUGGUGGGGUAAAGGCCUACCAAGGCGACGAUCCGUAACUGGUCUGAGAGGAUGAUCAGUCACACUGGAACUGAGACACGGUCCAGACUCCUACGGGAGGCAGCAGUGGGGAAUAUUGGACAAUGGGCGAAAGCCUGAUCCAGCCAUGCCGCGUGUGUGAAGAAGGUCUUCGGAUUGUAAAGCACUUUAAGUUGGGAGGAAGGGCAGUAAGUUAAUACCUUGCUGUUUUGACGUUACCAACAGAAUAAGCACCGGCUAACUUCGUGCCAGCAGCCGCGGUAAUACGAAGGGUGCAAGCGUUAAUCGGAAUUACUGGGCGUAAAGCGCGCGUAGGUGGUUCAGCAAGUUGGAUGUGAAAUCCCCGGGGCUCAACCUGGGAACUGCAUCCAAAAACUACUGAGCUAGAGUACGGUAGAGGGUGGUGGAAUUUCCUGUGUAGCGGUGAAAUGCGUAGAUAUAGGAAGGAACACCAGUGGCGAAGGCGACCACCUGGACUGAUACUGACACUGAGGUGCGAAAGCGUGGGGAGCAAACGGAUUAGAUACCCUGGUAGUCCCGCCGUAAACGAUGUCGACUAGCCGUUGGGGAUCCUUGAGAUCUUAGGGCGCAGCUAACGCGAUAAGUCCACCCCCUGGGAAUACGGCCGCAAGGUAAAACUCAAUGAAUUGACGGGGCCCGCACAACGUGGAGCAUGUGUUUAUUCGAAGCCACGCAAACUCUUACCUGGCCUUGACUGCUGAACUUUUCAAAUGAUUGGUGCCUUCGGAACUCAACCCAGUGCUGCU
rnacentral:rRNA from 1 species